GUAAAAUUAUAUGGCCAGAUGGUUUGCUUUGUGAAAUAUUAAUCUUCCUUCCUUCCCUGGCCUCUCCUCUUCCUUUGUAGGGCAGCUGAACUCAAGAACAUUCACUACCAUGAGGAAGGGAUGACCCAGUGGAAACCGGAUGUCCCUUGCUGCUUUUUGGGUAUCAAAACUGCAGCAUGGGCGGGCACGAGGUAGGGACAUGGCGAUUAUUUCAAGAUACCAAACCUCUUGUGGACGCAGCCCAGCUUCUUUUCUCAAUUAUGCGAUUUGACACCAUCCGAUUUUUCCAUGAAAGAGAACCCACAGGAGGCCUCUCUUUCCCUGCACCCAG
rnacentral:lncRNA from 1 species